CUACGGGUUGCUGCAGUGAGGAAUAUUGCACAAUGGGGGGAACCCUGAUGCAGCAACGCCGCGUGGAGGAUGACGCAUUUCGGUGUGUAAACUCCUUUUAUAUGUCAAGAAAAUGACGGUAGCAUAUGAAUAAGCACCGGCUAGCUCCGUGCCAGCAGCCGCGGUAAUACGGAGGGUGCAAGCGUUACUCGGAACCACUGGACGUAAAGGACGCGUAGGCGGGUUGGAAAGUCAGGUGUGAAAUCCUACAGCUUAACUGUAGAACUGCACUUGAAACUUCUAAUCUAGAGUAUGGGAGGGGGAGAUGGAAUUAGUGGUGUAGGGGUAAAAUCCGUAGAUAUCACUAGGAAUACCUAAAGCGAAGGCGAUCUCCUGGAACAUUACUGACGCUAAGGCGUGAAAGCGUGGGGAGCAAACAGGAUUAGAUACCCCAGUAGUC
rnacentral:rRNA from 1 species